GCAGGUUACAGGAAAGCUCUGGGGGUUGAUCUCAGGGGUGGCAAGCGGGGCUGUGCUUAGCUCUGGCCUCCGGGAUUGUCUUGGCUGUCUGUCGUCAUCUCUUGGAGGGGUCCUGAUUAGGCGGACAGGCUUCUGUGUGGAGGGCUGGAAAGCUUGGCUGAACUUUUCGGUAAAGAACACAGAGAUAUGGAGUUACCAGUAAGGAGCUCCACCGUGACUCUCCUCCCUGCUCCGUUGCCCCGACGAGGAAGUGUGAAAACGUUUCUGGCUCCAUCCAAGAGAGUUUCGCUCUUUCACCCAGGCUGGAGUGCAGUGGCACGAUCUUGGCUCACUUCAACCUCUGCCUUCCAGUUUCAAGUGAUUCUACUGCCUCAGCCUCCCAAGUAGCUGGGAUUACAGGCACCCACCACUAUGCUCGGCUAAUUUUUUUGUAUUUUCAAUAGUGACAGAGUUUCACCAUAUUGGCCAGGCUGGUGUCGAACUCCUGACCUCAUGAUCUGCCCACCUCUGCCUCCCAAAGUGCUGGGAUUACAGGCGUGAGCCAUCGCGCCCAGCCCAUAAGUUUUAGUGCCUUUUUUUCAUAGAUGCUGAAACUGAAAAAGGGUGUGGUUAAAUAAUUUGCCCAAGCCAGUCUCUGGCAAAGAUGGGAUUCAUAUCCAGCUACUGAUGACCAAACAUGGUGAGCAGGUAUCCUAUGUCCCGAGGAAGCCCAUUCCACCUGAGCACUGGAUGGAAGGGAUAUCGCAAUCACCCCCAUGCAUGAUGGACAGGUCUAGGAGCAUUGGACACUCAAUGGAAACUCAUGCCCCUGUCAGAAAUUGGCAACUGCCACUUCCACGGCACUUGCAAACUUUGCACACGGUCCAGAUGUGGCCUGGCUUGUUGCUGUCAUGGUAGCAAUAGUAAUUACUUAGGGGAUUUCUGCAGAUCUUGCUCAUAUUGUGCAUAAUAGGGUAUAAAAUAUGGAAAAUUUGCCUCUAAAAUAAAGUGUUGCUGGCAAACUCAAAGUUUCUGAAGCUGUUUAAAUUAAGCUCAGUCCACAUGAGAAAAUGAUGGGAGAUUUGAAUAAGCAGAGUAGAGUAGAUUACAGGAAAAUGGAAUGAAGUUCCCAGACAAACAGGAGCUCAUUGUAGGGGACAGUACUGAUGAGUAGAGGAGAUGCUGGGUGAUCACCAAACAGCUAAGGAGCCAGGCGGAGGCAGCCCUGUUGAACCAAUCACUCCAAAGAGUGAGACUGAACAACAAGCUGCAAUGCCAGAAAAGCGCUCCACAUGCUGGCAGAGAGCUCGAGUGAGGAUUCAGGGUCAAGAUCCAGUGGAGAAAAUACCCCUCCCUCCCUUUUUGCCUCCCUCUCUCCUUUCUUUCUUUCUUUCUUUCUUGCUUGCUUGCUUGCUUU
rnacentral:lncRNA from 1 species